UACGUAGGUGGCAAGCGUUGUCCGGAUUUAUUGGGUUUAAAGGGUGCGUAGGCGGCUUUGUAAGUCAGUGGUGAAAUACUCCAGCUUAACUGGAGGGGUGCCAUUGAUACUGCGGAGCUUGAGUACAGAUGAGGUAGGCGGAAUUGACGGUGUAGCGGUGAAAUGCAUAGAUAUCGUCAAGAACACCGAUAGCGAAGGCAGCUUACUGGGCUGUAACUGACGCUGAUGCACGAAAAGUGUGGGGAUCAAACAGG
rnacentral:rRNA from 1 species